rnacentral:tRNA from 3 species
GGUCUCGUAGUUCAACGGAUAGAAUAGAAGUUUCCUAAACUUUAGAUACAGGUUCGAUUCCUGUCGAGACCA